rnacentral:sRNA from 1 species
CCCUUGCCGGGAGGGAGCCGCAAGGCGCAGCCCGGACGUGGAUUGGUCGGUGAGUGCCACGCAUUGAAAAACCCCGACAGCC